rnacentral:rRNA from 1 species
CCUACGGGGGGCUGCAGUUAGGAAUAUUGGGCAAUGGAGGAAACUCUGACCCAGCAACGCCGCGUGAAGGAAGAAGGUUUUCGGAUUGUAAACUUCUGAUCUGUGGGACGAAGAAAGUGACGGUACCAAAGGAGAAAGCCACGGCUAACUACGCGCCAGCAGCCGCGGUAAUACGUAGGGGGCGAGAGUUGUCCGGAAUAACGGGGCGUAAAGGGAGCGUAGGUGGUUGAUUAAGUUAAAUGUGAAAGCCCAGGGCUCAACUCUGGAACUGCAUUUAAUACUGGUCGACUAGAGUACAGGAGUGGUAAGCGGAAUUUCUAGUGUAGCGGUGAAAUGCGUAGAUAUUAGGAAGAACACCAGAGGCGAAGGCGGUUUACUGGACUGCAACUGACGCUGAGGCUCGAAAGCGUGGGGAGCAAACAGGAUUAGAUACCCUGGUAGUC